AUGAUUAGUGGCGAACGGGUGAGUAACACGUGAGUAACCUGCCCUUAACUUCGGGAUAAGCCUGGGAAACCGGGUCUAAUACCGGAUACGACGGAACACCGCAUGGUGGUCCGUGGAAAGCUUUAUGCGGUUUUGGAUGGACUCGCGGCCUAUCAGCUAGUUGGUUGGGGUAACGGCCCACCAAGGCGACGACGGGUAGCCGGCCUGAGAGGGUGACCGGCCACACUGGGACUGAGACACGGCCCAGACUCCUACGGGAGGCAGCAGUGGGGAAUAUUGCACAAUGGGCGAAAGCCUGAUGCAGCGACGCCGCGUGAGGGACGAAGGCCUUCGGGUUGUAAACCUCUUUCAGCAGGGAAGAAGCGAAAGUGACGGUACCUGCAGAAGAAGCGCCGGCUAACUACGUGCCAGCAGCCGCGGUAAUACGUAGGGCGCAAGCGUUAUCCGGAAUUAUUGGGCGUAAAGAGCUCGUAGGCGGUUUGUCGCGUCUGCUGUGAAAGCCCGGGGCUCAACCCCGGGUCUGCAGUGGGUACGGGCAGACUAGAGUGCAGUAGGGGAGACUGGAAUUCCUGGUGUAGCGGUGAAAUGCGCAGAUAUCAGGAGGAACACCGAUGGCGAAGGCAGGUCUCUGGGCUGUAACUGACGCUGAGGAGCGAAAGCAUGGGGAGCGAACAGGAUUAGAUACCCUGGUAGUCCAUGCCGUAAACGUUGGGCACUAGGUGUGGGGGACAUUCCACGUUUUCCGCGCCGUAGCUAACGCAUUAAGUGCCCCGCCUGGGGAGUACGGCCGCAAGGCUAAAACUCAAAGGAAUUGACGGGGGCCCGCACAAGCGGCGGAGCAUGCGGAUUAAUUCGAUGCAACGCGAAGAACCUUACCAAGGCUUGACAUGAACCGGAAAGGCCUGGAAACAGGUCCCCCACUUGUGGCCGGUUUACAGGUGGUGCAUGGUUGUCGUCAGCUCGUGUCGUGA
rnacentral:rRNA from 1 species